UGCAGAUGAUCAUUUGUUAUAGUCGCAUAGUAGAUGGAGUAAAAGUACAAUUUUCUCUUAGACCACAAUGUAAACGUGGAUUUUAUUUGUUUUCGGUCGAUGUAACGUUACAAUCAUAUGGAAGCUAAACCCCCAUCAACAGCUUCCACUAUAACGAAUUCAAUUCGACUACAACUAAUUUCCGAGACCACCACAACUACAGAAUCCGUCGGAGAGACAUACGCAAGUGGUGACCUGAUCGGGGAUGAAGCAUGGAAUGCACUUUCCCUCGCAAUCAGAAUUCUGUUUGCACGGUGUUAAAGCUGGCGCUCUCGCUUCCACUUCUGCAAAUCUCGUCAUUUCCCCAUCUACAAAAUGUAAUAAAUAAUGCGAUAAAUGAUUAAAACCUAGCAUCCGCCUUUUUUAUAAAUAAGAUGAAGUAAAAAAGAUAUUGAAGAGGGUAAUUUACGUUGAAAAACAAGAAGGAAAGCAAGUAAGAAGCAAACAAGUUUGAUGGAUGUCUUCUCCAUUUGUCUUUGGUCUGCUUUCUUUCUUAAAGAAAUUGAUAAGAUUUUUGUUAAGAGAUUUUCACUUUUGUUCUUGACGAU
rnacentral:lncRNA from 1 species